rnacentral:rRNA from 1 species
UACGUAGGGUGCAAGCGUUAAUCGGAAUUACUGGGCGUAAAGCGUGCGCAGGCGGUGAUGUAAGACAGGUGUGAAAUCCCCGGGCUUAACCUGGGAACUGCAUUUGUGACUGCAUCGCUGGAGUGCGGAAGAGGGGGAUGGAAUUCCGCGUGUAGCAGUGAAAUGCGUAGAUAUGCGGAGGAACGACGAUGGCGAAGGCAAUCCCCUGGGCCUGCACUGACGCUCAUGCACGAAAGCGUGGGGAGCAAACAGG